rnacentral:rRNA from 1 species
AAGACCUUGCACUUUUGGAGCGGCCGAUGUCUGAUUAGCUAGUUGGUGGGGUAAUGGCCUACCAAAGCUUCGAUCAGUAGCUGGUCUGAGAGGACGGCCAGCCACACUGGGACUGAGACACGGCCCAGACUCCUACGGGAGGCAGCAGUGGGGAAUUUUGGACAAUGGGCGCAAGCCUGAUCCAGCCAUGCCGCGUGAGUGAAGAGGGCCUUCGGGUUGUAAAGCUCUUUCAGCCGGGAAGAAAAGGUUGCGACUAAUAAUCGCAAUCCAUGACGGUACCGAAAGAAGAAGCACCGGCUAACUACGUGCCAGCAGCCGCGGUAAUACGUAGGGUGCGAGCGUUAAUCGGAAUUACUGGGCGUAAAGGGUGCGCAGGCGGUUUUGUAAGUCAGAUGUGAAAUCCCCGGGCUUAACCUGGGAACU